AGUGAACGCUGGCGGUAGGCCUAACACAUGCAAGUCGAACGGCAGCACAGUAAGAGCUUGCUCUUACGGGUGGCGAGUGGCGGACGGGUGAGGAAUACAUCGGAAUCUACUUUUUCGUGGGGGAUAACGUAGGGAAACUUACGCUAAUACCGCAUACGACCUAGGGGUGAAAGCAGGGGAUCUUCGGACCUUGCGCGAUUGAAUGAGCCGAUGUCGGAUUAGCUAGUUGGCGGGGUAAAGGCCCACCAAGGCGACGAUCCGUAGCUGGUCUGAGAGGAUGAUCAGCCACACUGGAACUGAGACACGGUCCAUACUCCUACGGGAGGCAGCAGUGGGGAAUAUUGGACAAUGGGCGCAAGCCUGAUCCAGCCAUACCGCGUGGGUGAAGAAGGCCUUCGGGUUGUAAAGCCCUUUUGUUGGGAAAGAAAAGCAGCAGGUUAAUACCCCGCUGUUCUGACGGUACCCAAAGAAUAAGCACCGGCUAACUUCGUG
rnacentral:rRNA from 1 species